rnacentral:rRNA from 1 species
UACGUAGGGCGCAAGCGUUAUCCGGAAUUAUUGGGCGUAAAGAGCUCGUAGGCGGUUUGUCGCGUCUGCUGUGAAAACUGGGGGCUCAACCCCCAGCCUGCAGUGGGUACGGGCAGACUAGAGUGCGGUAGGGGAGAUUGGAAUUCCUGGUGUAGCGGUGGAAUGCGCAGAUAUCAGGAGGAACACCGAUGGCGAAGGCAGAUCUCUGGGCCGAUACUGACGCUGAGGAGCGAAAGCGUGGGGAGCGAACAGG